rnacentral:rRNA from 1 species
UACGUAGGGUGGCAAGCGUUAAGUCGGAAUUACUGGGCGUAAAGCGUGCGCAGGCGGGUUAUAUAAGACAGUUGUCGAAAUCCCCGGGCACAACCUGGGAACUGCCAUCUGUGACUGUAUAGCUAGAGUACGGUAGAGGGGGAUGGAAUUCCGCGUGUAGCAGUGAAAUGCGUAGAUAUGCGGAGGAACACCGAUGGCGAAGGCAAUCCCCUGGACCUGUACUGACGCUCAUGCACGAGAGCGUGGGGAGCAAACAGG